UGGGGAAUAUUGGGCAAUGGGCGAAAGCCUGACCCAGCAACGCCGCGUGAGGGAAGAAGGGUUUCGGCUCGUAAACCUCUGUCCUAUGGGACGAAGGAAGUGACGGUACCAUAGGAGGAAGCCCCGGCUAACUACGUGCCAGCAGCCGCGGUAAUACGUAGUGGGGCGAGUCGUUCGUCCAGGAAUGAUUGGGCGUAAAGGGCGCGUAGGCGGCCUGUUAAGUCUGGAGUGAAAGUCCUGCUUUCAAGGUGGGAAUUGCUUUGGAUACUGAUGGGCUGGAGUGCAGGAGAGGAAAGCGGAAUUACCGGUGUAGCGGUGAAAUGCGUAGAGAUCGGUAGGAACACCAGUGGCGAAGGCGGCUUUCUGGACUGAAACUGACGCUGAGGCGCGAAAGCGUGGGGAGCAAACAGGAUUAGAUACC
rnacentral:rRNA from 1 species